rnacentral:tRNA from 1 species
UGGGGUGUAGCCAAGUGGUAAGGCAGAGGACUCUGAAUCCUCCAUUCGAAGGUUCGAAUCCUUCCACCCCAGCCA